GAUGAACGCUGGCGGCGUGCCUAAUACAUGCAAGUCGAGCGAACGGACGAGAAGCUUGCUUCUCUGAUGUUAGCGGCGGACGGGUGAGUAACACGUGGAUAACCUACCUAUAAGACUGGGAUAACUUCGGGAAACCGGAGCUAAUACCGGAUGAUAUUUUGAACCGCAUGGUUCAAAAGUGAAAGACGGUCUUGCUGUCACUUAUAGAUGGAUCCGCGCUGCAUUAGCUAGUUGGUAAGGUAACGGCUUACCAAGGCAACGAUGCAUAGCCGACCUGAGAGGGUGAUCGGCCACACUGGAACUGAGGCACGGUCCAGCCUCCUACGGGAGGCAGCAGUAGGGAAUCUUCCGCAAUGGGCGAAAGCCUGACGGAGCAACGCCGCGUGAGUGAUGAAGGUCUUCGGAUCGUAAAACUCUGUUAUUAGGGAAGAACAUAUGUGUAAGUAACUGUGCACAUCUUGACGGUACCUAAUCAGAAAGCCACGGCUAACUACGUG
rnacentral:rRNA from 1 species